rnacentral:sRNA from 1 species
GCCGGGUGUGGUAGUGCAUGCCUGUAGUCCCAGCUACUCUGGAAGCUGAGGUGGAAGGAUUGCUUGAGCCCAGGAGAUUGAGGCUGCAGUGAGCCAUGAUUGUGCCACUGCACUCCAGCCUGGGUAAAAGGGCAAGACUUGUCUCUGAAAACAAACAAAAAGUUGGCUUGAUGGUCAACUGGCUAAUCUGAGGUAGGGAAAUUACAGAAUUGCUUGAGCCUAGGAGUUCAAAGCUGCAGUGCUCCAUGAUUGCCCUUGUAAAUAGCUACUGCACGACAGCCUGGGCAAUAUAGCAAGACCCCAUCUCU